rnacentral:rRNA from 1 species
GGGUUGUGAGGUUAAGCGACUAAGCGUACACGGUGGAUGCCCUGGCAGUCAGAGGCGAUGAAGGACGUGCUAAUCUGCGAUAAGCGCCGGUAAGGUGAUAUGAACCGUUAUAACCGGCGAUUUCCGAAUGGGGAAACCCAGUGUGACUCGUCACACUAUCAUUAACUGAAUCCAUAGGUUAAUGAGGCGAACCGGGGGAACUGAAACAUCUAAGUACCCCGAGGAAAAGAAAUCAACCGAGAUUCCCCCAGUAGCGGCGAGCGAACGGGGAGGAGCCCAGAGCCUGAAUCAGCAUGUGUGUUAGUGGAAGCGUCUGGAAAGGCGCGCGAUACAGGGUGACAGCCCCGUACACAAAAGCGCAUAUGCUGUGAGCUCGAUGAGUAGGGCGGGACACGUGGUAUCCUGUCUGAAUAUGGGGGGACCAUCCUCCAAGGCUAAAUACUCCUGACUGACCGAUAGUGAACCAGUACCGUGAGGGAAAGGCGAAAAGAACCCCGGCGAGGGGAGUGAAAAAGAACCUGAAACCGUGUACGUACAAGCAGUGGGAGCCCCACCACUAAGCCAGUGGUGAACUCCACAUACGCAUCCUUUGCU